AACGUAGAACACAAGCGUUAUCCGGAGUUACUGGGCGUAAAGCGCGUGUAGGCGGUUCGGUAAGUCUGCUGUGAAAGUCCAGGGCUCAACCCUGGGAUGCCGGUGGAUACUGUCGGACUAGAGUACGGAAGAGGCGAGUGGAAUUCCACGUGUAGCGGUGAAAUGCGUAGAGAUGUGGAGGAACACCAGUGGCGAAGGCGACUCUUUGGUCUGUAACUGACGCUGAGGCGCGAAAGCGUGGGGAGCAAACAGG
rnacentral:rRNA from 1 species